GAAGAAGAUGAGUUGUUCUACUGUACAUGCUAUUGUUUUGUCCGUGCUAAUAUUACAAAAAUAAAGAAGUAUGAACCUUGAGGACAAAGUUGAUUCAAAUGCAUUUAGAGUGUAAGAAACAUUUAAUUCAGAAUCCUAAAAAUUGAAUCAAAUUUCAUCUUUGAUGUUUUUAAGAGCACUGAAUCCAUCACAGGAAGGAGAACAACUACAGAAAAUCAUUUCUUUGAGGCAAAAUAAUGGCCAAAAAUUAAAAUCGUUUAUAAUAUGUGAAGCGAAAUGUGCAAACACAGUAAAAAAAACUGAAUUAGAUCAAAACUAUCAGUCAGUUUGGGCCAAAUUUUAUAGAUUUAAUUGAUAAAUAAACUGCCAAAUCCCAAAUCAACACAUUAGCAACAAUAACAAGAAGUCAAUCAAGUCAUAUCCAAAAAAAUAGCUCGUAAAAUCAAAAUUCAAUGACAUAGACUGAUCAAUAAGCUCAAUUAAUUCAUGCAGCUACAUAAUUUUCAACUCGACAACACACAAG
rnacentral:misc_RNA from 1 species